UACAGAGGUGGCAAGCGUUGUUCGGAAUUACUGGGCGUAAAGGGCGCGUAGGCGGCUCUCUAAGUCCCGUGUGAAAGCCCUCGGCUUAACCGAGGAACUGCACGAGAAACUGGAGAGCUUGAGUUCGGGAGAGGGAAGCGGAAUUCCGGGUGUAGCGGUGAAAUGCGUAGAUAUCCGGAGGAACACCGGUGGCGAAGGCGGCUUCCUGGACCGACACUGACGCUGAGGCGCGAAAGCUAGGGGAGCAAACGGG
rnacentral:rRNA from 2 species